UACGUAGGUGGCAAGCGUUGUCCGGAAUUAUUGGGCGUAAAGCGCGCGCAGGCGGUCCUUUAAGUCUGGUGUGAAAGCCCACGGCUCAACCGUGGAAGGUCAUUGGAAACUGGGGGACUUGAGUGCAGAAGAGGAAAGUGGAAUUCCAAGUGUAGCGGUGAAAUGCGUAGAGAUUUGGAGGAACACCAGUGACGAAGGCGACUUUCUGGUCUGUAACUGACGCUGAGGCGCGAAAGCGUGGGGAGCAAACAGG
rnacentral:rRNA from 1 species